AGAGUUUGAUCCUGGCUCAGGAUGAACGCUGGCGGCGUGCUUAACACAUGCAAGUCGAGCGAAGCGGCUGAAUUGAUUCUUCGGAUGAUUUUCAGUUGACUGAGCGGCGGACGGGUGAGUAACGCGUGGGUGACCUGCCCCAUACCGGGGGAUAACAGCUGGAAACGGCUGCUAAUACCGCAUAAGCGCACAGAGCUGCAUGGCUCGGUGUGAAAAACUCCGGUGGUAUGGGAUGGGCCCGCGUCUGAUUAGGCAGUUGGCGGGGUAACGGCCUACCAAACCGACGAUCAGUAGCCGGCCUGAGAGGGCGACCGGCCACAUUGGGACUGAGACACGGCCCAAACUCCUACGGGAGGCAGCAGUGGGGAAUAUUGCACAAUGGGGGAAACCCUGAUGCAGCGACGCCGCGUGAGCGAAGAAGUAUUUCGGUAUGUAAAGCUCUAUCAGCAGGGAAGAUAAUGACGGUACCUGACUAAGAAGCCCCGGCUAACUACGUGCCAGCAGCCGCGGUAAUACGUAGGGGGCAAGCGUUAUCCGGAUUUACUGGGUGUAAAGGGAGCGUAGACGGCAAGGCAAGUCUGAUGUGAAAACCCAGGGCUUAACCCUGGGACUGCAUUGGAAACUGUCUGGCUCGAGUGCCGGAGAGGUAAGCGGAAUUCCUAGUGUAGCGGUGAAAUGCGUAGAUAUUAGGAAGAACACCAGUGGCGAAGGCGGCUUACUGGACGGUAACUGACGUUGAGGCUCGAAAGCGUGGGGAGCAAACAGGAUUAGAUACCCUGGUAGUCCACGCCGUAAACGAU
rnacentral:rRNA from 1 species